AUGAACGACAGCAAACCUGAACCUGGAUCAAUAGGCUCUGGGACGUUACACGAUCUGACCGCUGCAGGGCCGGAAACCUGGCUGAGAGUACAGGCCCCUGGGACGCAGAACAGGGAAAAACCUCAGGGCCUGUUGGAGAAAAAAGAAAAAAAAGUCAAGAUAAUAAGAGAGGAGUUGAAUAUGAUCAGUCUUCAGAGAGCAGAAGCGAGACUGAAAAACUGCAGGCGUUUGGUUUGGAUGAAGUCACUACAAAACCUUUAGGUAACACUAACAUGAAUCGAUAAUAUUACAAUUAAAUUUGAAAGAAAAAAAUAUAACAUUACAGUUCAUUAUGAAUCCCUUUCACUCUUUUCCACACAUUCUUCUUCUCUUCUAUAUGUUUUGAUCCACAAUCGGCCCUAGUACAGAAAUGUGGAUUAGGAAGCCUCCUCUGAACACUAGCUGACAGAUGCUAGUUUACUCAUUUCAGAACAUGCUAUCGAUUGAGGUCAUUUACAGUGAGAUGUUUAUCUGAGCUGAAUAUUGACAGAUCCUCGUCAUUUUCACCUGUGCAGCAUGACAGACAUUCAGUCAGCACAGAGGAUGAUUGUAGUGUUAAUGCAGGGACUCUGCACUGCAUUAUGGGUGGAGUGAUAGUGAAGAGAUAAAGCGGCUGUAUAUGUGGAUAUGAAAUGCCACAUGACUUAUGUUCAUGACACUAUGGCUGUUGUGAAUCUCCUGAGAGUUGUGUUUCAGCUGAAUUCAGGUCGCAGCACUGGUUUCCUUCACAAAGAAGGCAAUCCCGGCAAGCUCUAAAAUAUUUAAUGAGUUGGAUAUGUGAAUGGAUAUGCAUAUGCAUAUGAACAGUAUAAAAAUAAACAACCAUGUAAACUAAUCAAUAACCACAAAAGUUAUUCAGAUAAUUUAGAAAUUAAUAUCAAUGCCAUGUCAGAUAACUUUGAUAGUAAGGUAUGUAAUGAAUUAGUUUGAAUAGCUGUCAGCUGUUAAAUUUAAGUGCACAGUUAGACAUUGGCAAUUAAGAUCAACCAAUUACCAAGCAAUGCUUAAUUUUCAUUCUGUGGUAUAAAUUAUUACUAUUAUUAUUAUUAUUAUUUUUUUUUUUUGCAAUUAAUACAAAAAAAAAAGAAAAAAAAAAAAGAAAGAAAAACACUUGCAAAACAUUAUCAGGUCAAAAUGUCUGAAUAAUUUUUGGUCCCAAAUAUUUGUUAAUUUUACUGGUAGUCCACUGUAUGAAGAUUUUUUCACAAAGAAUUUUUGGGUAAAAUGUCACAGUUUACUUUAUUUUGCUAUCUCACUUUCAUUAAUGAACUAUAGUGUCAUGCAUCCACUAAUAAAUAACAUAUCAAAUAUUUUAUCUGGUAUAUGGAUAUUUUUUGGUUUGACUGUGUGUGUGUGUGUGUGUGUGUGUGUGUGUGUGUGUGUGUGUGUGUAUAUAUAUGAUGGAAAUUUCAGAUUAAUAUAUAUAUAUAUAUAGUUUUUCCUUUGUAGUUUUUAAAAGUUUAUUUUUGAUUAUUAAAAAAACAACAACAACAACAACAACAAAUACAUUUAUUUGAUAAAAUAAAUGUUUUGGUGGAGAUUUUGUGGAGUUUCGGUAGGCAUGUCAUCAUCGUUUCGGUAGUGACAAAAGGGAACACACAAUCCUCAUAUUUGGGGGAAAUAAACACAGUUUUAGUACAGUUAUGUUUUUGGUUCAAUGUAUAUUCAAAUAAAACCUUAACUUUGAAAUCAGCAUGAUCAACUUUUUUGCUAUUUACAAAGAAAAAUUGGAUUCAAAAUACAACAAAUAACAUAAAUUGCAUUUGAAUUAUUGUUAAAAAUGUAGCUGUUAUUGAUUUACCUCUGUAAACAUUUUAAUAAAAUACACACACACACACACAUACACACACACAGACAUAUAUAUAUAUAUAUAUAUAUAUAUAUAUAUAUAUAUAUAUAUAUAUAUAUAUAUACAUAUACAUAUACAUAUACAUAUACAUAUACAAUUUAGAUGUAAGCUAAAUUAAUAGUUAAAUAUAACCCUUCUAAUUAAAUUAUUAUUACUGUGUUCCGGUAGUGACAAAUUUGGAACGUGGACAAAUAUUGCAAAACUUUAUGAAAAUACAAUAUGAGAAUUAACUGCACAAUUACUAGAAAUGUGUACCUUGGAUAUUAUACAAUUUGCAUACAUACAAAUUUUUUGGGGAAAAAAUAAAUACAUUUCAAGACAUUUCCAACUCUGACUUUGGACCAAUUCUGCAGAAUGGCCCAUAUAUGUUUUAAUAAAAAAAGAAAAAUUAUCCACAAGAGUUUUGUGAACUUUGUGUGGUGACUCAUUGACAAUAAUAGAUACAUUUCUUUGUUUAUUUAUUUAUUUUGACCAAUUAAUUUAAAUAAAUCACCCAAACGGAACUGAUUCGCUGUUUGCUGCUGCUAACUGAGAUA
ensembl:lncRNA